CCUACGGGUGGCAGCAGUGAGGAAUAUUGGUCAAUGGGCGCGAGCCUGACCCAGCCAAGUAGCGUGAAGGAUGACUGCCCUACGGGUUGUAAACUUCUUUUAUAAAGGAAUAAAGUGAUGCACGUGUGCCUUUUUUUAUGUACUUUAUGAAUAAGGAUUGGCUAACCCCGUGCCAGCAGCCGCGGUAAUACGGUGGAUCCGAGCGUUUUCCGGAUUUAAUGGGUUUAAAGGGAGUGUAGAUGGGUUGUUAAGUCAGUUGUGAAAGGUUGCGGCUCAACCGUAAAAUUGCAAGUGACACUGGCAGUCGUGAGUACAGUUGAGGUAGGUGGAAGUCGUGGGGUAGCGGUGAAAUGCUUAGAUAUCACGAAGAACGCCGAUAGCGAAGGCAGCUUACUAAACGGCAACUGACAUGGAUGCGCGAAAGUGUGGGUAUCAAACAGGAUUAGAUACCCCAGUAGUC
rnacentral:rRNA from 1 species